rnacentral:rRNA from 1 species
UAGGGAAUCUUCCGCAAUGGACGAAAGGCUGACGGAGCAACGCCGCGUGAGUGAAGAAGGAUUUCGGUUCGUAAAACUCUGUUGUUAGGGAAGAAAAAAUGUAUAGUAACUAUAUACAAAAGAGACGGUACCUAACCAGAAAGCCACGGCUAACUACGUGCCAGCAGCCGCGGUAAUACGUAGGUGGCAAGCGUUGUCCGGAAUUAUUGGGCGUAAAGCGCGCGCAGGUGGUUUAGAAAGUCUGAUGUGAAAGCCCACGGCUCAACCGUGGAGAAUCAUUGGAAACUAAUAAACUUGAGUGCAGGAGAGAAAAGUGGACUUCCUAGUGUAGCGGUGAAAUGCGUAGAGAUUAGGAGGAACACCGGUGGCGAAAGCGGCUUUUUGGCCUGCAACUGACACUGAGGCGCGAAAGCGUGGGGAGCAAACAGG